rnacentral:rRNA from 1 species
CAGCCAUCAUUUAAAGAGUGCGUAAUAGCUCACUAGUCGAGUGACACUGCGCCGAAAAUGUACCGGGGCUAAACAUAUUACCGAAGCUGUGGAUUGUCCUUUGGACAAUGGUAGGAGAGCGUUCUAAGGGCGUUGAAGCAUGAUCGUAAGGACAUGUGGAGCGCUUAGAAGUGAGAAUGCCGGUGUGAGUAGCGAAAGACGGGUGAGAAUCCCGUCCACCGAUUGACUAAGGUUUCCAGAGGAAGGCUCGUCCGCUCUGGGUUAGUCGGGUCCUAAGCUGAGGCCGACAGGCGUAGGCGAUGGAUAACAGGUUGAUAUUCCUGUACCACCUAUAAUCGUUUUAAUCGAUGGGGGGACGCAGUAGGAUAGGCGAAGCGUGCGAUUGGAUUGCACGUCUAAGCAGUAAGGCUGAGUAUUAGGCAAAUCCGGUACUCGUUAAGGCUGAGCUGUGAUGGGGAGAAGACAUUGAGUCUUCGAGUCGUUGAUUUCACACUGCCGAGAAAAGCCUCUAGAUAGAAAAUAGGUGCCCGUACCGCAAACCGACACAGGUAGUCAAGAUGAGAAUUCUAAGGUGAGCGAGCGAACUCUCGUUAAGGAACUCGGCAAAAUGACCCCGUAACUUCGGGAGAAGGGGUGCUCUUUAGGGUUAACGCCCAGAAGAGCCGCAGUGAAUAGGCCCAAGCGACUGUUUAUCAAAAACACAGGUCUCUGCUAAACCGUAAGGUGAUGUAUAGGGGCUGACGCCUGCCCGGUGCUGGAAGGUUAAGAGGAGUGGUUAGCUUCUGCGAAGCUACGAAUCGAAGCCCCAGUAAACGGCGGCCGUAACUAUAACGGUCCUAAGGUAGCGAAAUUCCUUGUCGGGUAAGUUCCGACCCGCACGAAAGGCGUAACGAUUUGGGCACUGUCUCAACGAGAGACUCGGUGAAAUCAUAGUACCUGUGAAGAUGCAGGUUACCCGCGACAGGACGGAAAGACCCCGUGGAGCUUUACUGUAGCCUGAUAUUGAAAUUCGGCACAGCUUGUACAGGAUAGGUAGGAGCCUUUGAAACGUGAGCGCUAGCUUACGUGGAGGCGCUGGUGGGAUACUACCCUAGCUGUGUUGGCUUUCUAACCCGCACCACUUAUCGUGGUGGGAGACAGUGUCAGGCGGGCAGUUUGACUGGGGCGGUCGCCUCCUAAAAGGUAACGGAGGCGCUCAAAGGUUCCCUCAGAAU